UCAUUAUUACAGUAAAAUAGAAAGAGCAGUCGGAGCUCUCUGCUUCUAACACACCUAGUCGGCGCCGCCACAACAAGAACCAUGGGAAAGAAACCGUCUGGGUCCAAGCAAGCAUUUUUCAUCCUCGGAGCCUUGGCACUGGGUUGGCUAGCCAUUGAGAUGGCCUUCAAGCCCUUCCUCGAUAAGGCCCGCUCCGCCAUGGACAACUCUGAUCCGACUCGGGAUCCCGACGACCUUCUCGAUAAACAAUCUGAUCACUUACAAUCGGACGACGAUCGAAGUACCACUGCUUGAAGUUGCAUCAUCUUGUGGCGGUAUGAAAAUUUGAAUUUUACAUCUUCUCCUCCGUUUCUUAUAAGUCUGCAAGCCGGCUAUCUCUGCACUUGCUAAAAUGGAUCCAUCUCUGGCUCUUGAGGUUGUGAUGGGAGUGCGCAGAGCACAGCCAAAAUGAAAAUGGCCUGCAACUCCAUUGUCACUUAGUGUGUUGCUUCCACUCUGAAAAGGUCUCUUUUUGUUAUUCCCUCUCCUUUUCGGAAUAAUAUUAAACAAUGCAGUGUUCUUAUUCUCAAUAUCAUAAUAUGAACAUCCUCAAGAAGACUUUUGGGGUCAGGCGAGCCACGUCGGGUAGUAGACUUCUCGACCUUCAUCAGUUGAGCAACUUGUUGAUUGAUCACUUCGUUCCGUUUAGGAAAUUGAAGUCUUAAGUUUCUAACUAUAGUUAUGCUGUUUGUGAUGUGAUUGUUAUCGCAGCAUUGGAAUAUGAUCGAGAGCUCUGGCUUAUUCUCUAAUCGAACAUAUUCUAAAACGAAA